GAUGAACGCUGGCGGCGUGCCUAAUACAUGCAAGUCGAGCGAACAGACGAGGAGCUUGCUCCUCUGACGUUAGCGGCGGACGGGUGAGUAACACGUGGAUAACCUACCUAUAAGACUGGGAUAACUUCGGGAAACCGGAGCUAAUACCGGAUAAUAUAUUGAACCGCAUGGUUCAAUAGUGAAAGACGGUUUUGCUGUCACUUAUAGAUGGAUCCGCGCCGCAUUAGCUAGUUGGUAAGGUAACGGCUUACCAAGGCAACGAUGCGUAGCCGACCUGAGAGGGUGAUCGGCCACACUGGAACUGAGAAACGGUCCAGACUCCGACGGGAGGCAGCAGUAGGGAAUCUUCCGAAAUGGGCGAAAGCCUGACGGAGCAACGCCGCGUGAGUGAUGAAGGUCUUCGGAUCGUAAAACUCUGUUAUUAGGGAAGAACAAAUGUGUAAGUAACUAUGCACGUCCUGACGGUACCUAAUCAGAAAGCCACGGCUAACUACGU
rnacentral:rRNA from 1 species